rnacentral:rRNA from 1 species
GACGAACGCUGGCGGCGUGCUUAACACACGCAAGUCGAGCGAUGAAGUUUCUUCGGAAAUGGAUUAGCGGCGAACGGGUGAGGAACACGUGAAGAAUCUGCCCUCCACUUUGGGAUAACACCGGGAAACCGGUGCUAAUACCGAAUAUUGAAACAUAAGAGGCAUCACUGAGUUUUGAAAGAAUUUCGGUGGAGGAUGACUUCGCGGCCUAUCAGCUAGUUGGUGAGGUAAUGGCUCACCAAGGCAACGACGGGUAGCCGGCCUGAGAGGGCGACCGGCCACACUGGGACUGAGACACGGCCCAGACUCCUACGGGAGGCAGCAGUGGGAAAUAUUGGGCAAUGGAGGAAACUCUGACCCAGCGACGCCGCGUGCGGGAUGAAGGCCUUCGGGUUGUAAACCGCUUUCAGUAGGGAAGAAGCGAAAGUGACGGUACCUACAAAAGAAGCACCGGCUAACUAUGUGCCAGCAGCCGCGGUAAUACAUAGGGUGCAAGCGUUGUCCGGAAUUAUUGGGCGUAAAGAGCUCGUAGGUCGUUUGUUACGUCGGAUGUGAAAACCUGAGGCUCAACCUCAGGCCUGCAUUCGAUACGGGCAAACUAGAGUUUGGUAGGGGAGACUGGAAUUCCUGGUGUAGCGGUGGAAUGCGCAGAUAUCAGGAGGAACACCAAUGGCGUAGGCAGGUCUCUGGGCCAAUACUGACACUGAGGAGCGAAAGUCUGGGGAGCGAACAGGAUUAGAUACCCUGGUAGUCCAGACCGUAAACGGUGGGCACUAGUUGUGGGAACCUUCCACGGUUUCUGCGACGCAGCUAACGCAUUAAGUGCCCCGCCUGGGGAGUACGAUCGCAAGAUUAAAACUCAAAGGAAUUGACGGGGCCCCGCACAAGCAGCGGAGCAUGCGGCUUAAUUCGACGCAACGCGAAGAACCUUACCAAGGCUUGACAUAUAGGGAAAAGUGGCAGAGAUGUCA